rnacentral:rRNA from 1 species
CCUACGGGGGGCAGCAGUGGGGGAUAUUGCACAAUGGGGGAAACCCUGAUGCAGCGACGCCGCGUGGGCGAAGAAGUAUUUCGGUAUGUAAAGCCCUAUCAGCAGGGAAGAAGAAAUGACGGUACCUGAGUAAGAAGCACCGGCUAAAUACGUGCCAGCAGCCGCGGUAAUACGUAUGGUGCAAGCGUUAUCCGGAUUUAUUGGGUUUAAAGGGUGCGCAGGCGGAUUUUUAAGUCAGCGGUCAAAUCGUGGGGCUCAACCCCAUCCAGCCGUUGAAACUGGGGAUCUAGAGUGUGCGAGAGGUAUGCGGAAUGCGUGGUGUAGCGGUGAAAUGCAUAGAUAUCACGCAGAACCCCGAUUGCGAAGGCAGCAUACCGGUGCACAACUGACGCUCAGGCACGAAAGCGUGGGUAUCGAACAGGAUUAGAUACCCGAGUAGUC